GUGCCAGCAGCCGCGGUAAUACAGAGGGCGCGAGCGUUGUCCGGAAUCACUGGGCGUAAAGGGCGCGUAGGUGGCCACCAUAAGGCCGCGGUGAAAGUUCGGGGCUCAACCCCGGAUCGGCCGCGGCGACUGUGGGGCUUGGGUACUGUAGAGGCAGGUGGAAUUCCGGGUGUAGCGGUGGAAUGCGUAGAGAUCCGGAAGAACACCAGUGGCGAAGGCGGCCUGCUGGGCAGUGGGAUCGAAAGGUCCCUAUAACCGACACUGAGGCGCGACAGCGUGGGGAGCAAACAGGAUUAGAUACCCUGGUAGUCC
rnacentral:rRNA from 1 species